rnacentral:rRNA from 1 species
AGAGUUUUAUUCUGGGUUCAGGAUGGAACGCGGGCGGGCGUGCCUAAUACAUGCAAGUCGAACGAACAAGAACAGUUAAGCUUGCUUAGCAGUUUGCGUUAGUGGCGAACGGGUGAGUAAUACAUAAAUAACCUGCCCCUAUGUUCGGAAUAACAGUGGAAAACGACUGCUAAUGCCAAAUACGUUAUCUUAAGGCAUCUUAAGAUAAUAAAAGAUGGGAUACAUCGCAAAGGGAUGGAUUUAUGGCGCAUUAGUUAGUUGGUGAGGUAACGGCUCACCAAGACGAUGAUGCGUAGCCGGCCUGAGAGGGUGACCGGCCACACUGGGACUGAGACACGGCCCAGACUCCUACGGGAGGCAGCAGUAGGGAAUUUUCGGCAAUGGGGGCAACCCUGACCGAGCGACGCCGCGUGAGUGAAGAAGGCCUUCGGGUUGUAAAGCUCUGUUGUAAGGGAAGAACCGUAGUGAUAGGGAAUGAUCACUACCUGACGGUACCUUACCAGAAAGCCACGGCUAACUACGUGCCAGCAGCCGCGGUAAUACGUAGGUGGCAAGCGUUAUCCGGAAUUAUUGGGCGUAAAGGGAGCGCAGGCGGUUUAUUAAGUCUGAUGUUAAAACACGGAGCUCAACUUCGUGAUGCAUUAGAAACUGGUAGACUAGAGUGCAGGAGAGGUGAGUGGAAUUCCAUGUGUAGCGGUAAAAUGCGUAGAUAUAUGGAGGAACACCAGUGGCGAAGGCGGCUCACUGGCCUGUAACUGACGCUGAGGCUCGAAAGCGUGGGGAGCAAAUAGGAUUAGAUACCCUAGUAGUCCACGCCGUAAACGAUGAAUACUAGGUGUUGGAGUAGAACUUCAGUGCCGCAGUUAACGC